rnacentral:misc_RNA from 1 species
UCUCCGUAGGUGAACCUGCGGAGGGAUCAUUACUGAGUGAGGGCUUCGGUCCGACCUCCAACCCUUUGUGAAUCGUACUCGUUGCUUCGGGGGCGACCCUGCCGUCCGCGGCUGAGCGCCCCCGGAGGCCAUUAAACACUGCAUCAUUGCGUCGGAGUUAAAGUAAAUUAAACAAAACUUUCAACAACGGAUCUCUUGGUUCCAGCAUCGAUGAAGAACGCAGC